GCAGGGGCCACGGUUCAGUGAUAGAGCAUCUGCUUGGCAUGCAGAAUCCCAGGUUCAAUCCCUGGCAUCUGCA
rnacentral:tRNA from 1 species